CCCUCGUUCUGUGUUGCCAGCAUUAAGUUGGGGACUCACAGGAGUCUGCCGGGGUUAACUCGGAGGAAGCUGGGGAUGACGUCAAAUCAUCAUGCCCCUUAUGUCUUGGGCUGCACGCAUGCUACAAUGGCUGGUACAAACGGCUGCGAUACCGCAAGGUGGAGCGAAUCCGAUAAAGCCAGUCUCAGUUCGGAUUGGGGUCUGCAACUCGACCCCAUGAAGUCGGAGUUGCUAGUAAUCGUAGAUCAGCAACGCUACGGUGAAUACGUUCCCGGGGCUUGUACACACCGCCCGUCACGUCACGAGUCGGUAACACCUCGAAGUCAGU
rnacentral:rRNA from 1 species